AGGAAAUGUGUGGGAUGCAUAGGAGAGACUAUAGAUGAGGCUAACAGAGAGAAAUUGGGUAAGUGUUCGCGUUUGCUGGCGAAAGUCUGCAGUCCAUUGGAAGUCAAGCAGAUAAUGAAGGCUGAGAGUGAGUGCUUGGCGAACCAAAUUCAACCUGAGCAGGUUUGGGUCAAUGGAAGGCCAUUGCGCGAGGAAGAAUUGGUAG
rnacentral:misc_RNA from 1 species